rnacentral:rRNA from 1 species
CACUCCUACGGGAGGCAGCAGUGGGGAAUAUUGCACAAUGGGCGCAAGCCUGAUGCAGCCAUGCCGCGUGUAUGAAGAAGGCCUUCGGGUUGUAAAGUACUUUCAGCGGGGAGGAAGGCAAUACGGUUAAUAACCGUGUUGAUUGACGUUACCCGCAGAAGAAGCACCGGCUAACUCCGUGCCAGCAGCCGCGGUAAUACGGAGGGUGCAAGCGUUAAUCGGAAUUACUGGGCGUAAAGCGCACGCAGGCGGUCUGUCAAGUCGGAUGUGAAAUCCCCGGGCUCAACCUGGGAACUGCAUUCGAAACUGGCAGGCUUGAGUCUUGUAGAGGGGGGUAGAAUUCCAGGUGUAGCGGUGAAAUGCGUAGAGAUCUGGAGGAAUACCGGUGGCGAAGGCGGCCCCCUGGACAAAGACUGACGCUCAGGUGCGAAAGCGUGGGGAGCAAACAGGAUUAGAAACCCUAGUAGUCCC